rnacentral:rRNA from 1 species
UACUACGGCCAUGCCACCCUGAACAAGCCUGAUCCCAUCUGUUCUUGGAAGCUAAGCAGGGUUGGGCCUGGUUAGUCCUUGGAUGGGAGACCACCUAGGAAGACCAGGUGCUGUAGGUG